AUGGUCGAGAAUCUUGGUGGAGCAUCAUUGUGGAGCAUCAUGGUGGAGUAUCAUGGUGGAGAAUUUUGGUGGGGAAUCUCGGUGAAGCAUUUUGGUGGAGCAUCAUGGUCGAGAAUCUUGGUGAAGCAUCAUUUGGAGCAUCAUCCUGGAGAAUCUUGUUGGAGCAUCAUGUUGGAGCACCAUGGUUGGACCAUCAUGGUGGAGCACCUUGGUGGAACAUCUCAGUGGAGCAUUAUGGUGGAGCAUCAUGGUGGAGCAUCUUGGUGGAACAUCAUGGUGGAUCAUCUUGGUGGAGCAUCUUGGUGGGGAAUCUUGGUGGAGCAUCAUUGUGGAGCAUCAAGGUGGAGAAUCUUGGUUGAGCAUCAUGGUCGAGAAUCUUGGUGGAGCAUCUUUGUGGAGCAUCAUCGUGGAGAAUCUUGGUGGAACAUCAUGGUGGAUCAUCUUGGUGGAGCAUCUUGGCGGGGAAUCUUGGUGGAGCAUCAUGGUCGAGAAUCUUGGUGGAGCAUCAUGGUGGAGCAUCUCGAUGCAGAAUCCUGGUGGAGCAUCAUGGUGGAGCAUCUUGGUGGAGCAUUUCGGUGGAGCAUCAUGGUCGAGAAUCUUUGUGGAGCAUCAUUGUGGAGCAUCUCGAUGCAGAAUCUUGGUGGAGCAACAUUGUGGAGCAUCAUCCUGGAGAAUCUUGGUGGAGUAUCAUGGCGGAGCAUCUUGGUGGAGCAUCAUGUGGGAGAAUCUUGGUGGAAAAUCUUGGUGGAGCAUCAUGGUGGAGCAUCUUGGUGGAACAUCAUGGUAGAUCAUCUUGGUGGGGAAUCUUGGUGGAGCAUCAUGGUGGAGCACCUUGGUGGAGAAUCUUGGUGGACCAUCAUGGUGGAGCAUCUUGGUGGAGCAUUUCGGUGGAGAAUCGUGGUGGAGCAUCAUUGUGGAGCAUCAAGGUGGAGAAUCUUGGUGGAGCAUCAUGGUCGAGAAUCUUGGUGGAGCAUCAUGGUCGAGAAUCUUGGUGGAGCAUCAUUGUGGAGCAUCAUCGUGGAGAAUUUUGGUGGAAAAUCAUGGUGGAGCAUCACGGUGGAUCAUCUUGCUGGAGAAUCUUGGUGGAGCAUAAUUGUGGAGCAUCAAGGUGGAGAAUCUUGGUGGAGCAUCAUUGUGGAACAUCAUGGUAGAGAAUUUUGGUGGAAAAUCUUGUUGGAGUAUCAUGGUGGAGCACCUUUGUGGAACAUCUCGGUGGAGCAUGAUGGUGGAGCAUCAUGGAAGAGCAUCAUGGUGGAUCAUCUUGGUGGAGCAUCUAAAUGGAUCAUCUUGGUGGAGCUUCUAUGGUAG
rnacentral:lncRNA from 1 species